UACGUAGGUGGCAAGCGUUGUCCGGAUUUAUUGGGUUUAAAGGGUGCGUAGGCGGUCUUAUAAGUCAGUGCUGAAAUAUCCCGGCUUAACCGGGAGGGUGGCAUUGAUACUGUAGGACUUGAGUAGAGUUGAGGUUGGCGGAAUUUACGGUGUAGCAGUGAAAUGCGUAGAUAUCGUAAGGAACGCCAGUGGCGAAAGCGAAUCUCUGGGCAGCAACUGACGCUGAGGCACGAAGGCCAGGGGAGCAAACGGG
rnacentral:rRNA from 1 species